AGCAGUGCCUUAGCCAGGGACCUGCUUGGCCAGCGACAGAUCCUUUGCUGCUCUGUCUGCCGGUUCUUGAGAUGGAGUCUCUCACUCUGUUGCCCAGGCUGGAGUGUUGUUGCUGCCAACAGUGGGCCAUCUGGACCAUCUGGAGUGGCCACUGCCAAGAUGCUGGCUGCAGCCGGGAGGCUCUGCCCAUGCUGUGAGCUUCACAGAGCCAGAGGGAGCGGGGACAAGCAGGAGCCCAGCUCCUUCCAAGUUGGCGGGUGGGAGCUCCCCAGGCAUAGCUGCAGCUGCCCAAGUCAUGGCUGCUGGCUGAGCCUCCCUGUGUUCUUGGAGACCAGGAGCAGGCAGGAGCCCUGCUCUCCUGGGUGCAACUGCAGCCACCCAAGUCCUUGCUACAGACCGUGUUCUUGGAGGCUGGGAGCAGGCAGGAGUGCCGAAGCAGGCAGGAGUGCCGGAGCAGGCAUGAGCCCUUCCUGCAUCCCCCACCUCCUUUGUGCAGCUGUAGCCACCCAGGUUGUGGCUGCGGACCAACCUGGAUAUCUCUGCACUCUAGGGGCCUGGGAAGGCACCCCCACCUCAGCAGGCUUGGAGGUAUCUGCUUCUGCUGCCUGGCCUCUCCCUGCUCCUGGUGACUGCUCUGAUCUAGGAGCAAGGUUGGGGCCGAGCCAGGGUGCUGUUGUAGCCCAGCCAGUUGUGCGCAUACUUGAGGCAGUGCUGACAGGCCAUUCCUCUGCUGCCUCAGCCCCCUCCAGACUUUGGGUGCUGACAAACAUAGGAGGGAGGCUGAGGGAAGGCUGAAGGCAGUUCAGCAUUUGCCUGCAGGUGCUUGUCCCCACGAACAGCCUGGGCACCACAGAAAGCAGUAGGAGGCGACAUGCUCUGAGGCAGAAAGGGGCGGGUCCCCAGAAGGCCUGAAGCCUAAUGGCCAGGCCACCAGUCCCCCUGACUGGAGGGGGAACUGGUGGUGCUUUUUCUUGGACCUGCCCAUGGCCACCAAUGGACCAAUCAGCAUGCACUUCUUCCUCUCUGAGGCCCAUAAAAUUCCCUGGACUCAGCCAGACUGGGGGAGAAGACCUGCCAGCAGAGAGGAGCUACCUACUCCAGGGCCUCUUUUCUGCUGAGAGCUGCAGAGACAACAGGAGGACCAGCCUGCAGAGAGGAGCUACCCACUUCAGGGCCUCCUCUUUGCUGACAGCUGCAGAGAUGAUGGGACAAGCUGCCUGCAGAGAGGAGCUACCCACUCCAGGGUCUCCUCUGAGCUAUUCUGUUGCUCAGUAAAGCUCCUCCUUCUCAGUAAAGCUCCUCUUCACUUUGCUCAGACUCCACUUGUCUACAUACCUCAUUCUAUCUGGAUGCAGGACAAGAACUUGAGACCUGCUGAAUGGUGGGGCUGAAAGAGCUGUAACACAAACAGAGCUGAAACAUGCCCCUUGCUCACCACAUUGCAGGCAAAGAGGAGAGAAGAGCUGUGGCCCUUCAGGAAGCCCAGACCAGGAAGCUCCCUGAGCCAGGAUUGUGACUCCCUUUGGGGCCCUGCAUUUCCUGGAGUCUCCAAGCUUCCGGGCACCACUGUGGUGUACUUAGUCCAGUCACAGCCUUGCAGUGAGCCAGGGCCCGUACUGGCACCUGGAGCUGCCCACCCUGCUGCAGCAGCCAGCGUGCCUGACUGUGUGCAGUGGCCAGACCCCACACUCUUUCGCUCACACAUCCCUUGCUACUUCACGCCUGGCUCACCCUUGGCAGGGGUGAGAUACAGGCUGGUAGCAUUAGCCAAGCACAGCCUGCCAGGGUGAGUGGGCAGAACGAUCCCAGUGGGCCCAAGCAAAACUCAGGCAAAGGCACCACUGGCCACAGAGGUUUCUGACUAGAAAAGCAACACCCCAAGUAUCCUGUGACACAGUGGCAUGAUCUCAUCUCAUUGCAACCUCCACCUCCUGGGUUCAAGCUAUUCUUGUGCCUCAGCUUCUGGUGUAGCUGGGGCUACAGGUGCGUGCCACCACAUCUAUCUAAUUUUUGUAUUUUUUUUUUUUUAGUAGAGACGGGGUCUCACCAUGUUGACCAGGCUGGUCUCAAACUCCUGACUUCAGGUGAUCCGCCUGCCUCAGCCUUCCAAAGUGCUGGGAUUUCAGGUGUGGCCUACCAUGCCCAGCCUGUUAUGCCUCUUGAUUGACUCCUUUUUCAUAAUGAAAUGACCUUCUUUAUCCCUGAUAUAUCAGUCAGUGUUGAACCAGAGACACACAACAAGUAAUUGAAUAUAUGUAUAUGUACAUAUGGAUUUGUUAAAGAGAAUUGGCUUACACAAUUAUGAGAGCUAGUUAGGCACUCUUAUAAUGGUGUUGUGUCUGAUGCUAGAAUUUGAUGUUGGCAGAGUAGUCAGAAAGGAAGAUGGAAGUAAAGUGGGAGAAGUCAAGGUCAGGCUGGAAGUCACAAGUACAAACUUGAACCUCAUGAAAAUGGACUGAAAUCCAUGUUAGUUCUUGUUGCCUUUGACCUUGGUGGUGAGGGUAUCCUUCAGAAGCUGGGGCUGUUUGUCAUAAACACACAUACAUAGGCCAGGAGUUGGAGAAGCUGAAGGAGGAUCUAGAGGAUGGUAGAGUAGUUGCAGGCCAAGCUGCUACAAAAUGAGUCAACAAAGUGAGUCACCAGUCAGCAACAACAUAUGUGAACUACAAAUGGCUACUAUUUCCUUUCCACAUUACACAUCUCCCAAAAAUUGCCUUUUUGGCCCACCCAAACUGUAAACAUAAAAUAAAUAAUUCUAGGAAAACUGGUGCACUUUAAGCAAGAUGACACAUUAUAAAAGCAUCAUGGUCUGCCCCUUGUCAACUUAGUACCAUACAUGUUUCUUUAAGCCAUACUUUAAUUCUCCAAAUUAUGAUAACAAUGAAGUUGUGCUUUCACCUUACAUAAUACUACUAUCACAUAACUAUUAACAUGCUAACCAUUUCCCAAAAGAGGAAAAUAGUCUUUUUGUUGGUCCAUGAAUGGCAUUCAUUCUGCUCCCAGAUGAUAACCCUCCUUCUUUCAUAUCCUAUAACUUAAAUACUGACAUAUAAAGUUAACUAUUAACACAUAUUGUGUUAGAUGAUAAGAAGAUGAGAGAAGGAAGAAACAUAAAUUUUCAAGUAGUUUCCAAAAGAAGCUGGGUGUAUAUCAUUGCCCACCAGAAUGUUCUUCUUGAAUUCAACUAGACUUUUAGACCUUCAAGACUACUGCAGAUCACCCUUGGCAUCAGAUUAACUUAGAAGGAUAGGACAGAAGCCACAGCUGACCAGUAGGCAGCACCUACCCCUCUUCGGUGGUAGUGGUACUCACAGUGUUUUACACAAGCAUCCAGGCUUUUUUUUUUUUUUUUGGCCUUCCCAUUCCAAGUUGACAGCUCAGAUGCAAGGAGAUGAGACUUACAUUGGGAACCUGUGGGAUGCAUCUGGAUUAGAAACUUCCACAGGAGCUAAUAUGUCUUAUAGCAACUCCAUGGACAUAGCUUCUAGAAUUUCUGUAAGAGACAUGCCAAUUACAAGAGUCACUAUACUCAGGGAGGCCCAAAGUUAUAGUAUCCAUUAGCAUAGUCAAUAUUUAUAGUUCAUUUAUAAUUCUUUUGGUAAUCAGGAAACAUUUUUACCAUAAACAAUAUUGUUGGGUAACAUAAUUGACCUAUUAAUGAGUUUUCAAUAAAACAGAAUGAGAAAAUUAACCAAAGGUUAAUUCUCAUGUACAAAGGUAAAGUGUUUUGUUAACCUUUUACCCAAAAGUGAUGAUAUGAAUGUAGAUUUUUUGGGUGUUUGACGAAGGAAGCCAAACCAUUCUUUCAGAUUAUGUUAGAUUUGUAGCUUUGUGGAGUGUUGCCAGAGAUGUUGCUUUCUGUGUGUGAGUUUGAUGAGCUAACCUGGAGUUUGUUUGUUGGACUGGCCAAAACAAAUCUAGAGCCAACUAUGGUCCAUACCAGCUGACACUGAAGAAGUUCCUCUCAAUGAAGUAAAUGGAAUUGAAGGGUUUCCAGAGAGAUUAGCAGUGAUAAUACAGGCAUGGGAAGUGAUAUAAAAUUCUCAAGAAUGAAACUGAUAGGCCACCACCAAUAUUCUACCUGAAUUCUAUUUCUCAUUUCACUUGGGGGAAACUAGGUCAAACUAACAUGUGUACUAAUAUAUGUCUAACUUAGGCAUACGCUCUAGAGCAGUGAUUCUCAAUCUUUUUGAGAUAGUAAAUUUAUUUGAGAAAAGGAUGAAAACUGCAGACUUCUUCCUCAGAUAAAUGAACAUAAAGACCUACAUGUGGACUUUUGCUUAUCAUGUAUUGUAUUGGAAAUUAAUUUUCUUUGAUACUUAGACUGUGUAAACAAUUUUCACAAGGAAGGGAUUUCAAUUUAAAAAUCAAUUUCCAGUUCUGGGG
rnacentral:lncRNA from 1 species